CGUAGGUGGCAAGCGUUGUCCGGAUUUAUUGGGUUUAAAGGGUGCGUAGGCGGCCCUGUAAGUCAGUGCUGAAAUAUCCCGGCUUAACCGGGAGGGUGGCAUUGAUACUGCAGGGCUUGAGUAAAGUUGAGGUUGGCGGAAUUGACGGUGUAGCGGUGAAAUGCUUAGAUAUCGUCAAGAACACCGAUAGUGUAGACAGCUAACUAAGCUUUAACUGACGCUGAGGCACGAAAGUGUGGGGGAUCAAACAGGAUUAGAUACCCUGGUAGUCCACACUGUAAACGUUGAUGACUCGCUGUUGGCGAUAUACAGUCAGCGGCUUAGAGAAAUCGUUAAGUCAUCCACCUGGGGAGUACGCCGGCAACGGUG
rnacentral:rRNA from 1 species